UUGUCUUUUAAUUAAAGACCAAUCAAAAGAUUUAACAUUUUUUUUAAUAUAAAUACUUAAAUAUAUAAACUUUUCAAAUUAUUAAAAAAUAAUUAUCAUUUAAAAAGACGACAAGACCCUAUUGAACUUUACUUAAGUUAAACUGGGGUAGUUGAUUAAAUAUAUCUUAAUAUAAAUUCAAUUUAAUAAGACCUAAUUCAAUUAAUUAAAAAAUUAAGUUACCAUAGGGAUAACAGCGCAAUAAUUCUUAAAAUUCUAUUUAAAAAAUAAAUUACGACCUCGAUGUUGAAUUAAUAACCUAAUUUACGCAAUAGUAAAGAAAGUAAGUCUGUUCGACUUUUAAAAAAUUACAUGAUCUGAGUUC
rnacentral:rRNA from 1 species